GAUUUAGCCAUGCUAGUUGCACGAGUUCAGACUCGUAGCAGAUAGCUCAGUAACACGUGGCCAAACUACCCUAUGGAUCCGAAUAACCUCGGGAAACUGAGGCUAAUACGGAAUAGCGUUCAUCGCCUGGAGUGGCACGAACGCGAAACGUUACGGCGCCAUAGGAUGUGGCUGCGGCCGAUUAGGUAGACGGUGGGGUAACGGCCCACCGUGCCCAUAAUCGGUACGGGUUGUGAGAGCAAGAGCCCGGAGACGGUAUCUGAGACAAGAUACCGGGCCCUACGGGGCGCAGCAGGCGCGAAACCUUUACACUGCACGCGAGUGCGAUAAGGGGACUCCGAGUGCGAGGGCAUAUAGUCCUCGCUUUUCACGACCGUAAGGUGGUCGUAGAAUAAGUGCUGGGCAAGACCGGUGCCAGCCGCCGCGGUAAUACCGGCAGCACGAGUGAUGACCGCUAUUAUUGGGCCUAAAGCGUCCGUAGCUGGCCACGCAAGUCUAUCGGGAAAUCCGCGCGCUUAACGCGCGGGCGUCCGGUGGAAACUGCGUGGCUUGGGACCGGAAGACCAGAGGGGUACGUCCGGGGUAGGAGUGAAAUCCCGUAAUCCUGGACGGACCACCGGUGGCGAAAGCGCCUCUGGAAGACGGAUCCGACGGUGAGGGACGAAAGCUCGGGUCACGAACCGGAUUAGAUACCCGGGUAGUCCGAGCUGUAAACGAUGUCUGCUAGGUGUGGCACAGGCUACGAGCCUGUGCUGUGCCGUAGGGAAGCCGUGAAGCAGACCGCCUGGGAAGUACGUCCGCAAGGAUGAAACUAAAG
rnacentral:rRNA from 1 species